rnacentral:rRNA from 1 species
GAUGAACGCUGGCGGCGUGCCUAAUACAUGCAAGUCGAGCGAACAGACGAGGAGCUUGCUCCUCUGACGUUAGCGGCGGACGGGUGAGUAACACGUGGAUAACCUACCUAUAAGACUGGGAUAACUUCGGGAAACCGGAGCUAAUACCGGAUAAUAUAUUUAACCGCAUGGUUCAAUAGUGAAAGACGGUUUUGCUGUCACUUAUAGAUGGAUCCGCGCCGCAUUAGCUAGUUGGUAAGGUAACGGCUUACCAAGGCAACGAUGCGUAGCCGACCUGAGAGGGGGGACGGCAACACAGAAAGGAAGACAGGGUCCGGAAACAUACGGAAGGCAGGAGGAGGGAAGCUUCAGAAAUGGGCGAAAGCCUGACGGAACAACGCAGGGGGAGUGAAGAAGGUCUGCGGAACGUAAAACACUGUUAUGAGGGAAGAAAAAAAGGGUAAGUAAAGGAGAACGUUUGAACGGAACUUAAUAAGAAGACCAGGCUUAAUCAGGG